CCAAAUGAAAGGGCAAAAAGGAGAUGGGUUUCAGUUUGGAGCUACAGGAGGGCAAUUAUUUCUCUAAUGUGAUUUGCUUCCUGUAGCUAAAACGGAGUCCCUUCAAAUGAGAUUGUUUGCUAAGUGAGGCGUCUCCUUCCUCUUUCACCCUUGGAUGAAUUAGGGAGCAAGAGGAAUCAGUCAAGGUUCCUCGCUGUGAUGGGCUAAGGAGCUCUGUGCAUUCCCUGUGGAUAGCGGUCUGCUGCUGGAGAGGCCACAGGCUGGAGCAAGGAGCUGACUCACAGGGUAGGGAGAAAAUGGCCUGGAUCUUUCACAGAGGUCUAAGCACUUCGAAGUUAGCCGUGCACACAGUCUCCUUGAACUGGCUUUCCUCUUCUACCCGCCGGAGACGCCGAAGUUGUAUCUCCCAUCCCACGUGCUCUUACGCAAUAUUCCCUUGCCGGUUCUUCGGCAAGAGGUAGUCUCUUCCCCCUCCCAUUGCAUCUGGGCUCGCUGUGCGACUGGCUUUAACCAGAGGAACAUAGCAGAAGUACUCGAUGUAAGAGAACAGCAGCUUCCUUCUUCAUUCACCUGUUGGAACAUCGCUUCUUGGAACCCAUCGGCCUCAAGGUGAGGAUGUCCGAUUAGCCACAUGAAAGGCCCAAGUGGAUGAGAACUCAGGUCUCCAGCCGGCAGCCUCAGCUGAGCUCCUGGUUGACAGCCAGCACCAACUUGCAGUCCUGUGAAUGAAGCCACUGCGGACCUUCCAACCAUCCCAGUAUCCCAGGCAGCACCUGCAAGGCAUAUGCAACCCCUGGUCACUCCACAGAAUUGUGGGUAAUAAGAAACUCUUUUGUUCUAAGUCCCUAUGACGUAGGGUGGUUUUGUGCAGUAGUAGUUAACCAAAACAGCUCCUAAAUUUCGACAGCAUUCAGAACCCUGGUGUAAAGGAGUUGUUGAGGGGACAGCAAGUGGGUUAUAUCCUACUGCAUUACACUUGGCCUUAGUAGAGCUUCAGCAUCAGGUACAGGUAGCUAGGCCUGAGAAAAUGGAAAUCAAACUUUUAAUUGUACUUGGUAAUUACCUCUCUUUGGAGUAUCAUUGGAAAAUUCUUUUAUAUCCUAGCUACAAGUGGCCCAGGCCACUCUUGCUUGGGAUCCUGCUCUGGUGUUGGUGACAAUUUAGGAAGAGGCUGCAGGGACAGCCAGGAGGGAAGGAAGACGGCAGGAGAGGGUUCAGUGUGAUGGGGAAAACUGAGUCUGACAUUUCCAUCUAAAGGUUCAGAAUUCGAUACUGCCAUUUUUUAUAGAAUCAGAGAAGUUUACAGGGAUAUUAUUUUAUUUUUUCAGAUGCUAAUUCUUCAAAUGAUGAAAUGAGAAACCUCUGUUCUCUUGCCUCUUCUCUCGCUCUCUCUUUAAAAGAAGAAACAACAAAGAUAUCUAACCUAUUACUGAGCUCUGGCCUGAAAUUCAGAUAUUUGGACUUGACCCAAUGUCAAUAUUUUGGGAAAAGUUUGAACUAAGUCAUUCAUGCACUCCUGGGUUUCAAGCGUGAAAAAUCCCCACAGUUUUCCACUUAAAGAAAAAAUAAAAGGUCUGAAAACUAUGUACUGAAAAGCCAUCAAACGUUUUAGGCCGUAAACUUCAAACUUGGCGGGAUGAAGUGACCACCAAACAAGGAAAUUCAAGUCAAGUGCGAAUCAAGGAGCCAAAGCUUGUAAUGUGUUAAAGGCACAUAGACCAAAGUCUGUGCAGAGCAUCGUAGGGUGAAACUCUGCAUCACAACUGGGACCUGUCACUGAGCAGGGGCCUCUAACCAGGGCCACUUUCUCUUGCCUGAUAAUUGCAAUGGUCUCGUAACUGGUUUCCUUGAGUCACAUCUGUAUCUUUUUAAAUCUGGUCAUUUUCCUGUUUACAAACUCUCGGCGACUCCCCAUUGCCCCCAGGAUAAAUCAACACUUCUCAAGACGCCUUAAGAGGUGGCAGGCAUGAUCCAGCUUCCCUCUCUGGCUAUAGCUCCGGCCACACCCGAACUCAAACCCUUUUCCCCAGUCAUGCUGAAUUCCGUGGUGUUCCAAGAAUGUUCACUGCUCUCCAACACGAGCCCUUGUACAUGCUGUUCCUUCUGCUAGAGCUGCACUCCACCCCCAACUCUUAUUUGUGCAACAAGAAUCGGCUCAGAUGUCACCUCUUCCGGGAAGGACUAGAGGUACUGCCUCUGUAUUCCUAGGGCAUUUGGGAGUUUGUCAUGCUGUAUGAUAAUCAGUUUACACAUUUAUAUCCUCCAUUAAACUGGGAAUUCCCUAAGGGCAGUGACCAUGCCGUAUUUGACUUUUUAAUCUCUCAAACCCUACAUAGUGCCUGACUUCUAGUAGAUGCUCACGAAAUCAUUGUGAAUCAGACUAAACAAAUAGCCUUAAACCCCAUCUAUAUUUUUGCACCAGGGGAAGGAACCAGAGAAAGGUAGGGGAAGAGGACUUUGAGAGUGAGCCCUACAGAACUGAGACUCUGAGAUCUGAAGAGAAUUAUAUGUCCAAGUCAUAAUUUUGCCUCGAAUGGAUCCAUCCCUAUAAAAUACCUUCCACAUCCACUGCAACUUAACAUGGCAAUGUUCUUGUUUUCAGAAGACUUGCCACAAGGACUUUGUCACAGAGGUUUGGAAUUUACUUAUUUAAUUAACAAAGAUAAUUUGAAUUCCAACUGUGCCAGGCCUUGUGCAAAUUUAAAUAUGAAGACAACAUGACUUGUUUUCUUCAAGGAGUCUGUAGUAUGGUGGGGAAUUGGCAAUGGGAGUCGGUUUUGAUUUGGUGCUAUUGUUGUUGUUAAGACUUCUGCAAGUAAAAGUUUCUUCCGGGGGAAGGCUGCCCCAAUUACAGGGAACUCAGCUGACUGAUGUUCAUUCUGCUCCAAAAAAAUGUUUUUAUUCUUUUUCCAGAAGAAAUAAAUGAAGAAAGCUCACCCAGGAGAGUCAAUAUGGAUGAUACUCCCCACCAUGGGAACAAAACAUUUUUUUUUUUAAACAAAUGCCACAUUAACAAGCAGAUAAGAAGCUACUGGAUACAGACAUGUAGAAGCAAGGAAGUUCGAGCUGCGUACCUCUGCCGUAACCGAAUCACAAAGAAGGAACAGACUUUUCUCCCUGGAGGCAUGAUCUGUGCCUAGAAUUCUUGAGAAUCAUGGCCCUAAUUUUAUAUGUCGGGGAUGAAAUGUCCUUGGGUAAGAUGUUUAGAAUGGAAAUGGAGGAGACGGUGAGACCCUGGAGUGGGCCCUCUGUCCACUAGGUCAGGCUUCAAGUUCACCUAAUCAUGUUUGAGGCCUGCAGUUGAUGCUGGGAAGGAUCCCGAUAUGGAGAUGACAUCAACCAAUGGACCCAUGCCCGUGGAUCACAGGAAUUUACAAUGGAUAUCAUGGGGCAGAAUUUGACCUAGAGGUGUUGGGAGGAGAGCAGAGAAACAAGCCUGAAAUUCUCCUCUGAAUGCUGUCCAUUUAGUCAACUGUCCAAAUUGGAAAUAUCCACUCACUUCUGCUUUUCUUCUGAACGUUAAAUUUCUGAGAUCUAGAAAUGUAUUUAAAGGAGAACUUAAGAAGAGUUGUUUGCUUUUUAAUAAUAAUAAUAAUAUUGUUAAAUAUGAUAAAUUAUUGGCUCUGGUUCUUUCCCCUCUUUUUGUCCAUACCCUCUGCCAUCUAUAUUUGCCAUCUAUAUUUGUACUUCCCUGACCUUGACUUGCACUUGGGCCAAUGGAAUGUGAAUAAACAUGAUGGUAUGACAGAUCUGAGUCUAGGUCUAAAGGGCCAGUGCCAGAUUCUGUUUGUUUUUCUUGUGCCUCUUCCAUUACCAGGAGAAGAGCUUGUGCUCAGUAGUUGCCUCCUAGCAACACAAUACACAUGCAACAGACAUAAGCCCCAAAUCAGUGAAGAUUGAAGCCCAGCUGGAUCUUCAGCUUGAAGUAGAGUCACCCAGCUGAUGCCAGCCUAGAUCUGCAGACGCACAGAUACACAAGCAAAAAUUAAUCAGUGUUGUUUAAAUCACUAUUUGGUGGGGCGCCUGGGUGGCUCAGUUGGUUAAGCAUCUGCCUUUGGCUCAGGUCAUGAUCUCAGGGUUCUGGGAUCGAGUCCCAUAUCGGGCUCCUUGUUCAGCAGGGAGCCUGCUUCUCCCUCUGCCUGAUGCUCCCCCUGCUUGUGUGCUCUCUUUCUGUCAAAUAAAUAAACUAAAUCUUUAAAAAGAAAUUAACCACUAUUUGGGUUAAUUUGUUAUGCAGCAAUAACUAACUGAUACUCCUACUACUAUUACUACUAAUAAUAUUAGCUCAACUUGCCCAUAAUUUGUCCAAGGUCACUCAGCUGGUACCAUCAGUGAAGAUGGAAUUCAAAUUCUGGACUCUUAAUCACCUCCUUAUAUAACCUUGAGAAAUGAACCUGGUUAAUAUUCUGGUGAGUUCUUCUCAGGCAAAGAAUUUUUACCCUAGAAUGAAGACGAGAUGAGAAAAUACAUAGGUUUCUUUUUUAGAUGGUUUGCAGAGAAGAGAAGAGCUAUAAUCAUACCAGGAUAAUACAUUCAUGGACCACAGUCAGAGGUCUUCAGUUCUCAGAGAGAGGGAAAAAUAUAUUCAAAAAAAAAAAAAAAAGAAAAGUAAACAAAAGCAGGAUUCAGGAUUAACGAAUGGCAGGUCAUAGAAAAAUAAGGAUGAAUGAAGGACUGCCUAGCAUUAUUGCUGUGUGUUAGGAUUUGCCUCUCAGUUACUAGCUUUGUGAUUUUCUCUAGAACUCAGUUUUCUCAUCUGUGAAAUAAGGAUAAUGAAAGCAACUACUUCAUAGGGUUGUUGAAAGGUUUAAGUGAGUAUAUGUAAUCAAUAUAUGUAAAUGCUUAGAAGAGUGUCUGGCACUAAGUAGUACGGAGAUAUUAGCUGAGUGGUGCCUCCCCAGUGGAGCACCGUACUUAACAUCUGCCUGGUAUUUCUGACUGCACCUCUGUGAUGGUUUUGUAUUAUGUUAACCUAACUACCAGAACCACAUUUCCCAGAAUCCCUUUUCCUAUACGGUCUGGGCUAGAACUGCCAUAUGAAAAAUUUGCAUGAGAUUUGGAAGCUGGAGGUGAAGCUUCAGCCACCAUGCUCUGAAGGUUAGUGUAGGGUGUUGCUGUAGCUCAUUUAUUGAUCUACAGGCUGACUCAGCUGGUGCAGGGCAGCAGUGGGCCUGCAUGUCCUCCACUCCCUCUGGCCCUCCUCUUGCAGCUUCUCUGAACCCUGGCCAGGUGUGUGUGCAGCUCCAUGAUGAAGGGUCCCAGCUUCCAUGUAGUAGAAGUUGAGAUGAUGGGAGACAGAUAUGUGGUGCCGUUGGUCUUCAUGGAUUUCAGAUUGUCCUUGUAGAUUACUGUUUGUUUCCAGAGGUUAUAGUAAUCUUGCCCUUGCUUUCCUCCACUUCAUGUCCUACCUUCUUUCCAUUCCAGGCCUGCCAACCUACAGCGACUUCAGGACUGACCCCCACCAAAUGAGAGAUAACAGCUCUGCACAGACAUCUUCACUAGCUCUCACCAUUACUCAAGGUGAUUGUGGGCCAGAUGUGGAUCAGCUUGGCUAGGCUGGACUCAAGACUUUAGGUUAGGUUCUGCUUAGUUUCAUUUUGAAACUCUGACUAAAGUCACCAUGGUGACCCAGGGCAUGACAUCCUGAUUGCAGGGAUCAAAUGAUCAAGAGGAGCAUGUGGAAACAUGUAAUGUCUCGUGAGAUAUUGCCCUGGAAUUGGAAACUGUCACUUCUGCUCACAUUCUAUUUGCAAGUCAUAUGAUCAAGCCCUAAAUAAGUGGGAUGAAGAGGUGUAUUCCACUCAGUGAAGCUGUUGAAUUAUGUCCACCAAAUUCCUAUGUAGACAUCUUUACCCCCAGUACCUCAUCAUGUGACCUGGUUUGGAAAUAAGGUCGUCACAGAGGUAAUUGAGUUCAAAUGAGGUCAUUAAGGAGGGCCUUAAUCUGAAAUGACUGGUGCCUCAUAAAAAGGGGAAAUUUGGACAGAGAAGCACAGACUGCGAGAGGACAAUGUGGAGACAGAGAAGAUGGUCAUUUGCAAAUCUAGAAGAUCUGCCUUUCACGGCCCUUAGGAGGAACCAAUCCUGCUAAUACCUUGAUCUUGGACUUCUAGCUUCCAAAAAUAAGCUCACACUACAUGCCGUGAGGACAGACAAGGAACUGCAGCAGCCCAAAUCCCAGACUGGAAGAAGCCUCUGACUCUGGGUACUUAUUCCUUCACCCACCUCUCACCAGCUGCAGAUGAAGCUGAAAGCCCUGUCUAACCCUGACUGCAAAGGGUUAACACUCUGCCCCUGAAAUGACUGGGUUUCCUUUUGGUCAGUGUUGUUUUUCAGGCUCAUGCCUUCCUGAUGACUCAGUGCAGAUCAACGUGACCAUGAGUUUUUGGUUCCUGAGUAUAUGUAACUGACUCAGAUUACCAAAAAUUGAGAACUGAUUGCAUUUGCCUUCUCCAUCCAUGGUGAAAUAGCUCACCUGUAUCCUGAGUGGUGGAGAAAAGGCUUCUGUGACACUGGGUGCCUCAGAGGAUGGGCAGUGCAGUCUCCGGGGUGGAAAAAAAUCAGAGGCUGCUACUAAGUAAAGAAUCUGUGGGACUCAAACACAGAGGGAGGGGGCAGGGCACCAAAAGGACUGACACCUGAAUAAUCCAUCUGUAGCAAAAUGGCUUCCAACUAAUUAAACAUAUAAAAACCUCUUUUAGAGAAGAUAAUCCUAUUGGAUCAACUUGCAAGAUUUUUCCAGCCAGCUUCUGUCUCUUGGAGCUUCAAUUAAAAGCUGUUUAGCAGAUGGCAAUUUCUGAGUCACAAAGUUAGACUCUCUGGCAACCAUGUGUGCUUUUGGUUUCCCAGGGGAUCCUGGCCACAUAUGGCCCUAGAAGAGGUGUGAGAGUUCUUCCUUGGCAUACAGUAGAGGGCUCCUCCCCCACCUCAACACACAGAUGACAGGGAUUUCAACAUAGCCAUCAAGGGUGAUUAACAGGAGGGAUUCUUCCAGAUAAUUCAGGGAUUUAGGGAAGGGAGCUUGAACAUCAUCUAGUGCAACCCCUUCUUUUUAUAGAAUUAGGAAACCGAGGCUGGGGGAGGGGGGUUCUGUAAUCUAUCUAAAGUCACCCAGCAAUGGAGAAGCAGGGGUCAGGACCAGUCUCAUGCUUAAUUACUAGAGAGACAACUUUUCUAUUUCCUUUGGGGACCUAAUUGAUUGCCUCGUCCUUUCCUUAAACUCACAGAGCUGCUAAAGGAUAUUUUACUAACGAUCUGACAAAUUGGUCAGGAGAGGGGCUUGACAGGUCAAUUUGUCUACCUCUUACUUCACUACAGGACAAAACCUCUGAAGUAGAACCCCAUUGCUCUUCUCAUCAGAGCUGUCCACUAAUGUUGAAGUCACAGCUUCCCUUGGGUGCUGCCAAAGAGAAACAGCCAAACACUAGUGAAGGCAGCACGAUUUUAUUCAGUACUACUGCAGUAGGGGAGAGACCUCAGUUUGACUUCACAGAAAUGAAAGGCAGGAGGGUUUUCAAGUGCUGGGGUGUACUUGAAAGGAAAAGUACUUUAAAAAGUUGGGGUCAGGGCAAGAAGACUGAUGUGAAUAGGCCACCUGUGCUUGCUUAUUGUAGUCAGCCUCUUACCGUCCCACAGAAACUGGGUGACAGGGUCCUACCUUUCUGGUUGAUGGUUACAUUUCAAAGUGAUGGCUUCCAGGUCCUUGAGAAAAACAUCCCUGGCUUGUGGAAGGCACAUCACAAAAGGACAGAAAAAAGAUUUACAGUUGCAAGUUUUUAAACUAAUGCUUCUAAGAAAAUGGAGGUCAGGAGCCUAUAGUCAUGUUUUAGAACGAACAGUAAAUUCUUUUGGCAGCUUUGAGCUUUCUCAAAGCAGGAAUUUAAGGAGACUGGGGCCAUCAUUCUAGGAAUGCACCCUUGAGCUGUUAGAAACUUGCUGGUGUUGUUUAAGUCUUUCAGUGUGAAAGGUGGACAAAUAAUUUGUUCUGGAAGUCUGCAGUUUUCCUAGGCUGAGGUUGAGGUCUACUCAAGAAGAGGUCACAGAGGAGCCUGACUCAAAUUUGGUUAAAGACAGAGUCUUUGUCAAUGUUGGCGAGACCUCCAAUGCCCUGCUGGUCAGAAAGUUGAUUCAGAGAUUUUCCCGUAUUUCUCACCAUGGUUUAAACCUAUUUAUUCCUGUUCUUCACUGGGGCUAGAAGUUGGUUCGUGCUCUGCUCUGGAAUGGUUCUUCAUAUAUUUACAACCAAUCUUUCCCAAACUGAAUUUUAAGUUGUUUGAAGUCGGGUCCAUGUAUGACAUUUUUAAGAAACCUUCCAAUGUACCUUGUAAGUAACUGACUUGAUAAUCAUUCACUGACCCACCUGCCAGAUUACAUUCCAUUUUCAAUAGUGCUAAUCAAUAUCUCACAGCCCAUAUCCUAUUUCUAUAACCACCUCUGUGAUUUUUUUUUUUCUGAACCCUCUUCCAAUGUAGGAGACCAAAAUAAACCUCCUCUAUUUACCUCUGUAAUUUCACCAGCACGUUCUCUUUCAAAAAUGUCCCCAAGAAUUCAACUCAUCAAACUUUUCCUGAGCCCCAGUAAAAGCCAGACAAACAGUGUCCUGGAAGCUAGGGAGGAAGAGAUCAAUGGGUCAGGGUUUCUGCUCUCAAGUGGACAAAUGGGGAGACUGACAAGUAUUUCAAGGAUUCCAAUACUCAGUGAGAAGCUCUGCAUAGUGGUGUGUGCCCAAAAGAAGGUCCCUAAUUCAGUUUGAGUGGGAAAUGGUUAGGGAAAGUCUCCUAGAAGAGACAACUCUGCUUGGGUUAGGUUCCCUUGAAGGAAAGUCUGAGAGGAGAAAUCUUAGACAAGUGAUUUAAUGAAGGAGAUCAGAAGAAACCUGUGAAGAAAUGAGGGAAGCCUGAUAGAUGUACGCAUACAUGUGAAUUCAGCCGUGUAGUCUAUCCUUAGUCUGAUCCCAAAGGUAUAUCUGGAGGGAGUAUAAAUCACGCCAGAGUUGCCCCUCAUGGGGUCAAAGAGGCCAGACUUCUGUGCUCCUUAUCAGGCUACAGGCUGCUCCCGAGGGGGAGAGGACCUAACAUCUUACAUAAUUCUGGGAGAAGCUCCUGCUGGCAGCUGGUGAUCUCUGGAGAAGGAUGUAGUUUUGAGCAGCUGGGGAGACCGGAGAUGCAGCCCCUGGAGACACUGAGCCAGAGGAUGGACGAGGUAUACACAGAAGGAUGACCAGUGCAAGUUACGUGACAUUUGAGUGCUUCCAAUUCGCAAGGCUGUCUAUCUCUCCCCCGGGAGUAGGAGAUCUUCACCAACUCUUCUCAGGCCCAGCGCUUUGAAGAGGUAUUUGAUUUGUUCACCGGCAGACAACACCCGAGAAGCCCAAAUACAGUCAUUCAGACUCUGCCAUUGUUUACACAGCCUGUCACUCCCCUUGGAGACAACUGGCUGGUCCUGGCUCCAAAUCCAUCUUCUUCUAGCCAAGCUGGUUGCUCAGGACCUCGAGUUCUGCCUGGCGUUCACAAAUUGAUAAAUUGGUGUUUUGUUCUGUUUUUCUCCUUUCUUUUUUUUCCUUUUUCUUUUUUUCUUCUUCUUUUUUUACUUAUUUAUUUGUCAGAGAGAGAGCACACACAGGGGGAGCUGCAGGCAGAGGGAGAAGCAGGCUCCCCGCUGAGCAAGGAGCCCCAUGUGGGACUCGAUCCCAGGACCCUAGGAUCAUGACCUGAGCUGAAAGCAGACACUUAAUGGACUGAGCCACCCAGGCACCCCUCUUUUUUCUUGAGAUGUUAUUUUUUUUUUUGAAAAGAUGGACACUGUUGUAAUCUUCCCUGCCUCUGGGACCUCAGUCUUCCACAUGUUCUCAAAAUUAAUAGCUAAGUAUUUUGCAAUAACACUUGUCAACUCCUUGAGUCUCCUACUUUGCCAGUUUGAAUACACCCACCUUCAAACAAACUCUCUUCUGUGGAGUAGAGUCUGACACACACCUUCCCACCCAUGAGAGGUGAUACUUGUUUUGGUAUGUGGGUACAGCUAAAUCUUGUAUAAACACAUUAAUGAAAUUGGGUAAACCAAGAAUCUACCCUGAACCCAACUCUUAAAGGUGUCAAAAGAUUACAAAAGGCUUUUGUUGAGAUAGCAUGUUAGUGUGCACCCAAGUGUGGAUGGAUGGUUGAUAAAUGCAAGACUGCAAAAUGGCAGCAAGGCUCCUCAGAUGUCUUGUAUGAGCAAUAUAUCCUUCCUCACUUUUCUAAUAAGCAAAAUAAUUGUUUUAGAUCCUCAGGGACUGUUUUGAUUUUCAUUUCCAUCUUUUUGGCAUUCCCAUGUACUUUUCAGGCAUUUGUAUACACGACUCGUUCCAUAAACAUAUAUAAGAGCCCCUGUUGUAUGAUCAGCCACUGUCACGUGCUGGAAAUACAACAGUGGACAAGGCACUCAGGGUCCUGGCUCUCAUGGAGUUUGCAAUUUAGGAAGACAAACAGACAUUUAGCAAAUCAUUUAAAAAAUAUUUAUAUAUCACAAUUGGGAGAGUUCUAAGAAAUAAAAAUACAGUGGUGUUCUGAUUAUCUAUUGCUGCAUAACAAACCAUCCCAAAGCCUAGUCUUAAAACAAUGACAAUAUAGUGCAUCAUGUUGAUGAGCACUCAAAGGGGAGAGCUCACCCCUGCUCUAGUUGGCAUUGGCUGGGGUGGCUCAAGAGAUAGGUGCUGGAAUCAUUUGAAGGAAAAGGCACUCAGCUGUCUGAACGCUCAUGAUGGCUAUCUGCUGGGACCUCAGCCACAGCUAUCCGAUGGGACACAUACGUGUGGCUUCUCUGUGUGGCCUGGGCUUUCCCGCAAUAUGGCGGCUGGGUUUCUAGAGUGUGUGUCCUGAUAGAGAGCAGGAUAGAAGUCCUAUCAUAUCACACCCCACUUAUCCAGGCAGUUACAAAAGCUGACCCAUUUUCAAGGGGAGGGAAUGUAGACUCUUUUUUUUUUUUUAAGAUUUUAUUUAUUUGUCAGAGAGAGAGAGCAAAAGGAGGGGGAGCAUCAGGCAGAGGGAAAAGCAGGCUCCCCGCUGAGCAAUGAACCCGAUGCGGGACUCGACCCCAGGGCCCUGGGAUCGUGACCUGAGCCAAAAGCUGAUGCUUGGCUGACUGAGCCACCCAGGCAUCCCGGAUACAGCCUUCUUGAUGGUGAGAGUGUCAAUGAGUCUGUAGACAUGUUUUAGAUCCACUACACCUAGAGUGACCAUAUAACUCACUGUCCAAAGCAAGACAUUUUGAGAGCAAAAGUGGGUGCUUUUCAAGCAUGAAUAAAACUGGCCUUGGUAAGCCAAGACAGGUUACCUCUACUACUAUGCUCUCCAAGCUCUCUUAAAUUCUUUUGCCUCUCUGAUGUUCAUUGUGUCAUUUUAAAACAUACUCUUUACUCAUUGAAAUUUUGUGUUUUAAAAUUUGUUUUGUGAUCAUUUAUUUUUUCUAAAUCAUAAUUAUUACCUUGUGGCUGCUUGUUCAUGAUGACUCUGGAACUUGGUAGUUAUGAAUCUUGUCCCACUACAUCUUUCCUGCUAAUUGGGACAACUUCUGGCACUGCGGAUCUAAGUGCUUAGAAUGCCUUUUCUCUCAGAUGAGGGAAACCCAAGCAAUGGAAGAAUUUGCUUCAAGGAAUGCUUUUUUAAAAACCUCAUUUUUUGGCGAAGUGGUAAAAAAACACAGUGAUGACUCAUCAGUUGAAAUCAAAUCCUUCAUCCCAAAAAAGUGUUUUUAUAAGAAGUGGGUGGUUUUUUUUUUUUCUUUCCCCAAAGGCAGACUGCAUAAUAUUUGGUGCUUCUCUUUUCUAAGUAAUAUAUUCCAUCUCAGUGGAAAGUGACAGUUUCAGACUUGAGCCAAUAACAUUUUAUUUUCAGAGCUGUGCGUGAUGCCCCCUUAUCCUGGGAUCUGCUUUUGCCUUCAUCCCUGAGAGGAGUUCAGCCAUGGACCAUUCCACACCGACACAGUCUCCCUUUCCUCCCUUCCCUUGGCCAGUGAUUAACCUGUUUUUCUAAAGACCCUUGAGCAGAAUAAAUGCCUAGAGAGAGCAUCUGGAAACAGCACCCAGGUGUAAAUAAGCAUGGCAAGUUAAGUGUCCUUCAAGAGUGGACCACAGUCAACCACUGUCAAUCUCUGUCUUGCAAUCCCGGGUCUCCACGCAGGAGCCUUUAUUCACAAAUCUCCACCAGAAAACAUUUUCUUUCUGUCCUUUCCUUUUUGUGACUCUGUCACUCUGUGCCGUGACUGAAAGAAAGCAGUGUGAUUCUUUUCUGAUCCAGGAAAGCAAACACCCCUUCCUGUUCAAUUUGUCUUCUCAGAAGCUUCCACAAAUAUCUCCUUGCUAGAAAACAAAAAUGCAACACUGGUAUCCAUUUCUGUUCCAGACUGAAAUACACAGGACACUUUUAUGAGUCCCGACCUAUGGCCUGAGCUUCACGAAUUGAGAGGGUAUUCAAGAGAGCUACAACGAGAGCAUCAGGUCUAGGAAACCCGAGCGGAAAGAGUUAAAAGAACCACCAGGGGUGGGAAGAGCAGCGUCCAAUAGCUGCUCAGAUGGCAAGUGGGCCUGGACUUAGGGUGACCCACUGUCCUGGUUUGCCUGGACUGAGGGGGGUCCUGGGGCUUUCCAUUUUUUAUAACCAGAAAGUCCUGGAAAUGCGGGGACUGGCCUUCUCUUCCUUAAUCAGAAGCUCCCCGCACUGCUCUGCUGCCCAGAGCCGGGUUCUGCUCUGGAACUGCAGGAAGGGGCAACGAGAUGAUCGUGGGCCAGGGCCUGGAAGGGAAAGGAAAGAGCCAGAGGCACAGCCAAGCUUUUAGGCUCUAGGUUCGGGGUGCUAAGUGAUGUUUGGGUGAGAAAGUGGCAGUGGUGAAAGUGAACAAUACUCUUCAUGGCACGAAAGCACCACGGUGGAACUCCACCCUGUAAGGAAAGGAUCACUCAGCUUUGUAAAAUGUUAUACGCAACUGAUGAAUUAUUUUUUUUAAAAGAUUUUAUUUAUUUAUUUGAGAGAGAGAAUGAGAUAGAGAGAGCAUGAGAGGGGGAGGGUCAGAGGGAGAAGCAGACUCCCUGCUGAGCAGGGAGCCCGAUGUGGGACUCGAUCCCAGGACUCCAGGAUCAUGACCUGAGCCGAAGGCAGUCGCUUAACCAACUGAGCCACCCAGGCGCCCGAACUGAUGAAUUAUUGAACACUACAUCUGACACUAAGGAGGUACUCUGUGUUGGCUGAUUGAAUCUAACUUAAAAAAAAAAAAUGAACAUGUUCCACCUGAGCUUUUAAGGUCCCUCCCAGGCAGCCUUCCAAGAAUCCUCGGGAGUUAGGGGCAGUCUGGGCCUCUCACCAGAUCCCAGGGCCCCACUCCUGCUCCUCUCAUGUGCUGGGGGUGGGGGGGGCCCUCCCUCUCUGUCCAUCCCCAAUGGCAGGGCAUUCAGUAUUCAAAGCUCCCUUUCUUGUGCUCAAGGCUUCAAGCCCCCAAAACAACCCAGCUUACCGCCCUGCACUGAAAUACCUAGAGGGGAGUCUCCUCUCUGGUCACUUCUCUCUUCAAGAAAAACAAUAUCCCAAAGUCAGAAAUAAAGCAAAAUAGACGCAUGACCCUUGUGGUCAAGCCUGCCUCGGGGUCACUUGACUUUCUAGCAGAACGUAACUUUGUUUAACUUACUAUUUACUCUUGAUCCAACAUGGUAGGAUUCUCCAAGAUUAGCUAUUAGUUCGUUGAGAAUCAUUAAGAUACAAAGGGUGUUUAUCCAAUAGUGGUACAAAUGGGUUUUUUCCUGUAGAGAUCAAAAUGACUUCUGUUUGCGAGAAACUCUAACUUUAAAGGUUAGAGUUUUAUGGCCUUGAAGAAAAAGAAUUAGUGUUGCAUAUAACUUAGUGAACUUAUUCCACAUUUUUGAAAAGAUUUAUUUAUUUAUUUGAGACAGAGAAAGAGAGAGAGCGGGGGGAGGGGGCAGAGGGAGAGGGAGAGAGAGAAUCUCAAACAGACUCCCCACUGAGUACGGAGCAUGACACGAGGCUUGAUCCCAGGACCCUGAGACAACAACCCCAGCUCAAGAAACCAAGAGCGGGAUGCUCAAGAAACUGAGCCAUCCAGGCGCCCCACUCCUUCCACAUUUUUUCUUUUACUACCAUAUAUGAGUCAUCUUGUACAUCUUGUACACCUGGUUCUCUUACUAAUGAGUUAAAAUAAAACUUUGGCAUGUACUCAUAAUGUAUUUGUGUGAGAAUUAUGCUUUUUUAGCAUUUGAAACAUUAUGCUUUGGGCAGUUCCCCCCACCGCACCUCCAUUUUUGGUUCUCUUUGGACCCACAACAACACAGUUUUAAGUCAUGAGUCCUCUUCAUCUUUCUGUUCUUUGUCACUGAUGACACCCUGGGCCUCCCUCAGGGUUGUGGUAAGUGGCACCUAUGGGUAAAAAAAUUUUUUUAAGGAAUUACUCAGUUGCAGAGUUACAGAUAAUAGCAAAAUCUGGACUCUAAGAUGUCCGGCAACGGAUAAUAGGAAAAUAUGGUACAUCAACAUUAAAUACUGUGCAGCUAGUAAGUAUCAUCAUUGUCGAGACUAUUGCAGCAACUCGGAAAAUGCUGAGGUGAGCAUGUGCGAAUACAAUAUUUGCAAUAUAACCUGGAAGUUAAGACAAACAUGAAGAUAUCUAUACGGAAGUACUAUCAGGAAGAUUUCUCAUUUUUCCCCAAAUUUUAUUUAAGAUGGUUUUUGUCCUUUCAAUGAAAAAAAAAACAUUAAAAAGAAAAUUUAAAACCCAAGCAAGCAGAACAUUAAUAUUAUGUGAUCUUAUUGAUGUCAUUAUCGCCGACAUGAUCGUGAAACUAUGGUUCAGAGAUUUCAUCGAAAAACUCUCCGAAGUCUCCCCAAACUUGCCCAUUCUAUCACUCCUUCACCUCUGAAUGCUUAGGAGCUCCAAGGUCGCUUUCAACUCAAUCAUGCUAUGUGACCAGAGCAAGGAAAGGCAAAGCCCUAAGAAGUAGAUAGAGCUUGGUGAGGUAAGAUUUGAAGAGAUGAGCUUCCAAAGGUUUAUGAAAACACAUACGAGACCUCAACCUUCAGCCUCCUGGACAGGGAUGUUAAUAAGCACUGCCCACUGACUCUCAGGUCCCCUUAGGGGGCUGUCAUGUUCCAGCCCCAUAUCUACCCUUAUGGCACUGUUCUUGGUGCCCCAAACUCUACCCAACUCACCCAACUCCACCCUUGGGGCAGAGCUGCUGAAUAUGCACCCUCUAGACCCCAAAUUGGGACCCAGGACCAAUAUCCCCUUUGCCCACCCUGCCUUCCACCACUUGGAACAUCUAUGCCUGGCCACAGAGAGCCCUUCCUGAUGGUGGAUGUGGCAACUAGCUGUCCUUCUGAAGACAGGCCUUUCCCUCCCCGCCCUCUUGGAGAAAACCACAAAAACAAAACAGGAGCCAGAUAUGUUCUAAGGGGAAUGUUUACACCCUGCUGCCAUUUCAUUAAGCUCUUUGGCCCAGGACACAGGCCAUGAGGCAUUUGGGAGGCCUCCCAGAGGUACCCAUGCAACAGGCCCAACUAUCUGCCUGCUCUAACCUCAUCUGAAGUUGCUUUUGGUUCUCUGGCAGCUGAUGAUUUUAAGCUGGCUCAUCUUCUAAGUGCAUGUAUUUACAAACAGACUUUACUGAUGUUCCUUUCAAAACUCCCUCCUCCUGAUUCCUUGCCCAGUCUCUAUUCAUUGAGUCAGAGUCAUAUUUUGUUUGAUACAUUGGUUUAGUCUUAGCUAUUUUUCAAGCACAGACCCCCACGGAUAAGCUUCUGAUGGGCGGGGACAUAUUUUACAUUCCUUUAUAGCCCAGGAGCUAACAUAAUGACCUACAAAGAAUAAAUAUCUCAGGGCACCUGGGUGGCUCAGUUGAUCAAAUGUUCCACUCUUACUUUUGGUUCAGGUCAUGAUCUCAGGGUUCUGGGAUCCAGCCCCACGUCAGGUUCUACUCUCAGUGGGGAGUCUGCUUGAGGAUUCUCUCCCUCUCCCUCUGCCCCUCCUCCCACUCUCUCUCUCUGUGUCUCUAAAAUAAAUAAAUAAAUCUUAAAAAAAUACAUCUCUUGGCAAACUGGAAACAACUCAAAUGUUCAUCAAUAGAGUGGAUACAAAUUAUGGCUUAUUUGUACAACAAAAUACUUCUCAGUAUUCCCAAAUACUUAGGUUCAUUCCUAAAGGAAUGAACCACUGACACAUGCAACAACCUGGAUGAAUCUCAAAAGCAUUACACUGAGCAAAAGAAGCACACCCAAAAGAGCAUAUACUAUGAUCCCAUGUAUAUGAAGCUCUCAGACCAGCAAUGCUAAUCUGUGAUAGAGGUCUAUUAUGGACUGAAUUUUGCGUGCCUCCCAAAUUCCUGUGUUGAAGCCUUAAUCCCCAGUGUGACUGUAUUUGGAGAUGGGGCCUCUAGGAAAGAAAUCGAGAUUAGAUGAGACCAUAAUGGAGAGGCCCUGAUACAAUAUGAUUUGUGUCUUUCUAGAAGGGAGACCAGAGGGCUCAUUUGCAUACGAAGAAGAGGUCAUGUGAGGACAACUGGGAAGGUAGCCAUCACAAACCAGUAAGAGGGCUCUCAACAGGAACUGAAUUGGUCGGAACCUUGAUCUUGGACCUCUAGGCUCCAGAUCAUGAGAAAAUAAAUUUUUGUUGUCCUAGCCACCUAACCUAUAUGAUAUUUUAUUACGGCAACCUUAAGACGAGAUGGAAAUAGUGGUUGCCUCUGGGGAAGCUGGCAUUGACUGGAAAAGGAUACAAGAGAACUUUCUAGGGUGAAAGAAACAUUCUACAUCUUGAUAGGGUGGUGGUCACAUGGAUAUUUACAAAUGUAUAUACAAAAAAGUAUUGAGCUGUUCACUUAAGAUAUGUGUAUUUUAUUACAUGUAAAUUAUAACUCAAUAAAGAAAUAAAUAAAAAAGUCUGUUGGUAAGAAUGGUUAUCUCUUCGCUGUAGCUAACACCCUCCGACUGAUCAACUCGGGAUGAAGGUUUAUCAAACACCCACUAUGGGCAGAUCCUUGCAGUAACCACAGAUACAGCAACAGGUGGGGGGAAUC